UUUGUUCGUCCGGCUCGCGUUA
rnacentral:miRNA from 1 species